UACGGGGGGGGCAAGCGUUGUUCGGAAUUACUGGGCGUAAAGGGCUCGUAGGCGGCCAACUAAGUCAGACGUGAAAUCCCUCGGCUUAACCGGGGAACUGCGUCUGAUACUGGAUGGCUUGAGAUUGGGAGAGGGAUGCGGAAUUCCAGGUGUAGCGGUGAAAUGCGUAGAUAUCUGGAGGAACACCGGUGGCGAAGGCGGCAUCCUGGACCAACACUGACGCUGAGGAGCGAAAGCCAGGGGAG
rnacentral:rRNA from 1 species